rnacentral:rRNA from 1 species
GUAGGGAAUCUUCGGCAAUGGGGGGAACCCUGACCGAGCAACGCCGCGUGAGUGAAGAAGGUUUUCGGAUCGUAAAGCUCUGUUGUAAGAGAAGAACGUGUGUGAGAGUGGAAAGUUCACACAGUGACGGUAACUUACCAGAAAGGGACGGCUAACUACGUGCCAGCAGCCGCGGUAAUACGUAGGUCCCGAGCGUUGUCCGGAUUUAUUGGGCGUAAAGCGAGCGCAGGCGGUUUGAUAAGUCUGAAGUAAAAGGCUGUGGCUUAACCAUAGUAUGCUUUGGAAACUGUCAAACUUGAGUGCAGAAGGGGAGAGUGGAAUUCCAUGUGUAGCGGUGAAAUGCGUAGAUAUAUGGAGGAACACCGGUGGCGAAAGCGGCUCUCUGGUCUGUAACUGACGCUGAGGCUCGAAAGCGUGGGGAGCAAACAGGAUUAGAUACCCUGGUAGUCC